UACGAAGGGUGCAAGCGUUGCUCGGAAUUAUUGGGCGUAAAGGGUAGGUAGGUGGUGAUAUUUGUCCGAGGUGAAAGCCCUGAGCUUAACUCAGGAAGUGCCUUGGAAACGGUAUCACUAGAGUGCUGGAGAGGUUCGUAGAAUUCCCGGUGUAGCGGUGAAAUGCGUAGAGAUCCGGAGGAACACCAGGGGCGAAAGCGGUCGACUGGUCGAGUUCUGACACUGAGGCGCGACGGCGUGGGGAGCAAACCGG
rnacentral:rRNA from 1 species